AAUUACGUAUGCAACGCGAAAACCUUACCUACCCUUGUACAUGUCUGGAACCUCGCUGAGAGGCGAGGGUGCCUUCGGGAGCCAGAACACAGGUGCUGCAUGGCUGUCGUCAGCUCGUGUCGUGAGAUGUUGGGUUAAGUCCCGCAACGAGCGCAACCCUUGUCAUUAGUUGCUACAUUCAGUUGGGCACUCUAAUGAGACUGCCGGUGACAAACCGGAGGAAGGUGGGGAUGACGUCAAGUCCUCAUGGCCCUUAUAGGUGGGGCUACACACGUCAUACAAUGGAUGGUACAAAGGGUCGCCAACCCGCGAGGGGGAGCCAAUCCCAUAAAGCCAUUCGUAGUCCGGAUCGCAGUCUGCAACUCGACUGCGUGAAGUCGGAAUCGCUAGUAAUCGUGGAUCAGAAUGUCACGGUGAAUACGUUCCCGGGUCUU
rnacentral:rRNA from 1 species